UACAGAGACUGCAAGCGUUAUUCGGAUUCACUGGGCGUAAAGGGUGCGCAGGCGGCCGUGUGUGUGAGGCGUGAAAGCCCGGGGCUCAACCCCGGAAUUGCACCUCAAACUACAUGGCUAGAGCAUUGGAGAGGGUAGCGGAAUUCACGGUGUAGCAGUGAAAUGCGUAGAUAUCGUGAGGAACACCAGAGGCGAAGGCGGCUACCUGGACAAUUGCUGACGCUCAGGCACGAAAGCGUGGGGAGCAAACGGG
rnacentral:rRNA from 1 species